rnacentral:snRNA from 1 species
GUGCUGACUUCAGCAACACAGAUACUAAAACUGGAAUGAUACAGAGAAGAUAAGCAAGGCCCCUGUGCAAGGAUAACAUACAAAUUUGUGAAGUGUUCCAUAUUUUU